UGGGGAAUAUUGCACAAUGGGCGCAAGCCUGAUGCAGCGACGCCGCGUGAGGGAUGACGGCCUUCGGGUUGUAAACCUCUUUCAGCAGGGGAGAAGCCUUCGGGUGACGGUACCUGCAGAAGAAGCACCGGCUAACUACGUGCCAGCAGCCGCGGUAAUACGUAGGGUGCGAGCGUUGUCCGGAAUUAUUGGGCGUAAAGAGCUUGUAGGCGGUUUGUCGCGUCUGCUGUGAAAAUCCGGGGCUCAACCCCGGACUUGCAGUGGGUACGGGCAGACUGGAGUGUGGUAGGGGAGACUGGAAUUCCUGGUGUAGCGGUGGAAUGCGCAGAUAUCAGGAGGAACACCGAUGGCGAAGGCAGGUCUCUGGGCCACUACUGACGCUGAGAAGCGAAAGCAUGGGGAGCGAACAGG
rnacentral:rRNA from 1 species